rnacentral:rRNA from 1 species
UCCGUAGGUGAACCUGCGGAAGGAUCAUUAAUGAAUUUUAGGACUCUCUUUUUAGAGGUCCGACCCUUUCAUUUCCUUACACUGUGCACACACUUCUUUUCACACAUUUUAACACUAUAGUAUAAGAAUGUAACAGUCUCUUUAUUGAGCAUAAAUAAAAAUAAAACUUUCAGCAACGGAUCUCUUGGCUCUCGCAUCGAUGAAGAACGCAGCGAAUUGCGAUAAGUAAUGUGAAUUGCAGAAUUCAGUGAAUCAUCGAAUCUUUGAACGCACCUUGCACUCUUUGGUAUUCCGAAGAGUAUGUCUGUUUGAGUGUCAUGAAACUCUCAACCCCCCUAUUUUGUAAUGAGAUGGGCGUGGGCUUGGAUUAUGACUGUUGUCGGCGUAAUUGCCGGCUCAGUUGAAAUACACGAGCAACCCAUUUGAAAUAAACGGCUUGACUCGGCGUAAUAAUUAUUUCGCUGAGGACGUUUUCUUCAAAAGUAAGAGGUGCUUCUAAUGCGCUUUUAUAGCAUUUAUAUUUUAGACCUCAAAUCAGUCAGGACUACCCGCUGAACUUAAGCAUAUCAAUAAGCGGAGGAAAAG